CUUUUAAUGCGGCCAAUGUUAUGUCGGUCUCAAGCCCGAGAAAACGCAGAGAGAAGG
ncrna:Nasonia vitripennis (jewel Type-P1 twister ribozyme ribozyme sequence